rnacentral:rRNA from 1 species
GAUGAACGCUGGCGGCGUGCCUAAUACAUGCAAGUCGAACGGGAGGCUUGGAGCAAUCUGAGCCGAGAGUGGCGCACGGGUGAGUAACACAUGGCUGACCUGCCCUCCAGAGGGGGAUAACGGCUGGAAACGGCCGCUAAUACCCCAUACGCUCCCUGGGGUUAGAGGACCGGGGAGGAAAGCGAUAGUGCUGGAGGAGGGGGCUGUGGCCCAUCAGCUAGUUGGUAGGGUAAAGGCCUACCAAGGCGACGACGGGUAGGGGGCCUGAGAGGGUGACCCCCCACACUGGGACUGAGACACGGCCCAGACUCCUACGGGAGGCAGCAGUAAGGGAUCUUGCGACAAUGGGCGAAAGCCUGACGCAGCAACGCCGCGUGCGGGUUGACGGCCUUCGGGUUGUAAACCGCUUUUCGAGGGGAAGAGGGAGGACGGUACCCUCGGAAUAAGUCUCGGCUAACUACGUGCCAGCAGCCGCGGUAAAACGUAGGAGGCGAGCGUUAUCCGGAUUUACUGGGUGUAAAGCGCGUGCAGGCGGUCGUGUAAGUGGUGCGUGAAAGCUCCCGGCUCAACCGGGAGAGGACGUGCCAAACUGCAGGGCUAGAGGCAGGUAGAGGCGUGUGGAAUUCCGGGUGUAGUGGUGAAAUGCGUAGAGAUCCGGAGGAACACCAGUGGCGAAGGCGACACGCUGGGCCUGGCCUGACGCUCAGACGCGAAAGCAUGGGGAGCGAACGGGAUUAGAAACCCCGGUAGUCCAUGCUGUAAACGAUGCUGACUAGGUGUUGCGGGUGAGAUACUCCGGCAGUGCCGAAGCUAACGUGGUAAGUCAGCCACCUGGGA